UUGUAUAGUGUGUGUAUAUAAUGCAGUGUGUUUGUGUAGUGUGCAUUAUAUAAACACACUGCAUUAUAUACACACACUAUACAA